CCCCAUUGUCCUAUCACCCCAUUCUGGACCCCAUUAUGACCCCUUUCUAUAUCCCAUUAUCCCAUUACCCAAUUGUGGACCCCAUUCCACAUCCCAUUAUCCCAUUACCCCAUUACAGACCCCAUUCCAUGCCCCAUUAUCCCAUUAUCCCAUUAUGGACCCCAUUAUGGACCCACUUCCAUGUCCCAUGACCCCAUGACCCCAUUACCCCAUUAUGGACCCCAUUACCCCAUUAUGGAACCCAUUCCAUAUCCCAUUAUCCUAUUACCCCAUUACAGACCCCAUUCCCUGUCCCAUUACCCCAUUAUGGACCCCCUUCCAUGUCCCAUUAUCCCAUUACCCCAUUACAGACCCCAUUCCCUGUCCCAUUAUCCCAUUAUCCCAUUNNNNNNNNNNNNNNNNNNNNNNNNNNNNNNNNNNNNNNNNNNNNNNNNNNNNNNNNNNNNNNNNNNNNNNNNNNNNNNNNNNNNNNNNNNNNCCAUCCUAUCGAUCCGUGCCUUAAUUAACACCCUGCAAUUAAUUAGAGGGUGGAUGAAUGCUCUCCCCCCCUCUCCCUCCCCCCCCAGGGCUCUGAUUGGGGUUUGUCCUUUCUUUUUUUUUUGGGGGGGGUUUGACCCAUUUGCUUUGCAACCCUGGGUUGGUGGCUGCAGGAUUGGUGCUGGUGCAAAAUGGUGGUGCAUGGUGCUGGUGCAAGGUGUGCGUGGUGCUGGUGCAAAAUGCUGGUGCACGGUGCUGCUGCGUGCUGCUGCAAGGUGUGCAUGUUGCUGGUGCAAAACGGUGGUGCACGGUGCUGGUGCAAGUUGUGCAUGGUGCUGGUACAAAAUGGUGGUGCAUGGUGCUGGUGCAAGGUGUGCACGGUGCUGCUGCAAGGUGUGCAUGGUGCUGGUGCAAAAUGCUGGUGCAUGGUGCUGCUGCGUGCUGCUGCAAGGCAUGCAUGGUGCUGGUGCAAAAUGCUGGUGCAUGGUGCUGCUGUGUGCAUGGUGUGCAUGGCGCUCCUGGAUGGUGCAGCUGCAAAACGUUGGUGCACGGUGCUGCUGCAAGGUGUGCAUGGUGUUGCUGCAUGGUGUGCAUGGUGCUGCUGCAUGGUGCUGCAUGGUGCUGCUGCAUGGUGUGCAUGCUGUUGGUGCUACUGCAGGCGUGCAUGGUGCUGGUGCAUGGUUUUGCUGCAUGAUGUCGGUGCAACAGUGCUGGUGCAUGGUGCUGGUGCACAACACCAGUGCACGAUGCUGCUGCAAGGUGCCCGCACUCCACAGCACGCUGCUUUGCAAAGCAACACAACACAAAAGCUGGGCAGUAAAAUGCAUCAAAUGCACCUGGGGUUGCAACAAAGCACCAUGCAGCGCCACGCAGCGCAGCACCGUGCAGAGUAGCACCAGGCAAUGCAGCAAAAUGUAAUGCAGCACCAGGCAAUGCAGCACCACGCAGCACCAUGCAGUGCAGGACGAUGCAAUGCAGCACCAUGCAAUGCAGCACCGUGCAGAAACACGCAGUGCAGCACAGUGCAAUGCAGCGCCACGCAAUGCAGCACAACACAGCGCAGUGCAAUGCAGCACAAUCCAGUGCAGCACAGUGCAACGAAGCACAAUGCAGCACAAUGCAAUGCAGCACAACGCAGUGCCGUGCAAUGCAGUGCUGCACAAUGCAGCACAGUGCAGCACAGUGCAGCACAAUGCAGCACAAUGCAAUGCAGCACAACACAGUGCCGUGCAAUGCAGUGCUGCACAAUGCAGCACAGUGCAGCACAGUGCAAUGCAGCACGAUGCAACGCAGCACGGCACAGUGCAGCGCACAAUGCAGCACAGUGCAGCACCCUGCAGCACCCUGCAGCGCAGCUCAAUGCGGCUCAACACGGUGCAGCACCAUGCAGUGCAGCACCACGCAACGCAGCACCAUGCAGCACAAUGCAAUGCAGCACCACGCAGUGCAGCACAGCACAAUGCAGCACCAUGCAACACAAUGCAAUGCAGCACCAUGCAGUGCAGCACCACACAGUGCAGCACCAUGCAGUGCAGCACAAUGCAGCACCACACAAUGCAGCACAGCACAAUGCAGCACAAUGCAAUGCAGCACCCCAUAAGGCCCCCCACCCCAUAUGCACCCCAUAUGCACCCCAUCCAACUCAA
ensembl:lncRNA